ACAAUGGAGAGUUUGAUCCUGGCUCAGGAUGAACGCUAGCUACAGGCUUAACACAUGCAAGUCGAGGGGAAACGAUAUUGGAAGCUUGCUUCCGAUAGGCGUCGACCGGCGCACGGGUGAGUAACGCGUAUCCAACCUGCCCACCACUUGGGGAUAACCUUGCGAAAGUAAGACUAAUACCCAAUGACGUCUCUAGAAGACAUC
rnacentral:rRNA from 1 species